AUUGAACGCUGGCGGCAGGCCUAACACAUGCAAGUCGAGCGGGAACUUCGGUUCUAGCGGCGGACGGGUGAGUAAUGCGUAGGAAGCUACCCGAUAGAGGGGGAUACCAGUUGGAAACGACUGUUAAUACCGCAUAAUGUCUACGGACCAAAGUGUGGGACCUUCGGGACACAUGCUCUCGGAUGCGCCUACGUGGGAUUAGCUAGUUGGUGGGGUAAUGGCUCACCAAGGCGACGAUCCCUAGCUGGUUUGAGAGGAUGAUCAGCCACACUGGAACUGAGACACGGUCUAGACUCCUACGGGAGGCAGCAGUGGGGAAUAUUGGACAAUGGGCGCAAGCCUGAUCCAGCCAUGCCGCGUGUGUGAAGAAGGCCUUCGGGUUGUAAAGCACUUUCAGUAAGGAGGAAGAGUUGAGUGUUAAUAGUACUCAGCUUUGACGUUACUUACAGAAGAAGCACCGGCUAACUCUGUGCCAGCCGCCGCCGUAAGAC
rnacentral:rRNA from 1 species